UGGGGAAUAUUGCACAAUGGGCGCAAGCCUGAUGCAGCCAUGCCGCGUGUAUGAAGAAGGCCUUCGGGUUGUAAAGUACUUUCAGCGGGGUGGAAGGGAGUAAAGUUAAUACCUUUGCUCAUUGACGUUACCCGCAGAAGAAGCACCGGCUAACUCCGUGCCAGCAGCCGCGGUAAUACGGAGGGUGCAAGCGUUAAUCUGAAUUACUGGGCGUAAAGCGCACGCAGGCGGUUUGUUAAGUCAGAUGUGAAAUCCCCGGGCUCAACCUGGGAACUGCAUCUGAUACUGGCAAGCUUGAGUCUCGUAGAGGGGGGUAGAAUUCCAGGUGUAGCGGUGAAAUGCGUAGAGAUCUGGAGGAAUACCGGUGGCGAAGGCGGCCCCCUGGACGAAGACUGACGCUCAGGUGCGAAAGCGUGGGGAGCAAACAGG
rnacentral:rRNA from 1 species